CUCUGAUUUUUAAGUGUAAAGCUGAAAUAAUUCAACAAAAUUUAUUUUUAUUUUUGUUACAAAUUCUUUCAUACUUAGUUACAUCAUUGUGGUUUGUGGCCUCUGUUGUUUUCCUUUUCCUUUACAGGUACACCAGGCAAGUUCUCCUAAUGCCUGGCCCUCAGGGAAGCUUAUAGAGUGAGGCAAUUUGGAAAACCCUGUUUUGGAACUGAGUUGCUCCUCAAUAGCUCCCCAUGGAAGAAGGAUUCCUAGUACUGUACAUCACUGGCACACAACUUGGUCUGGAGUGAGGACUGUGGCUUCCUUCUUGAGGCACUCUGACCCAGGAGAUUCACAGACUGGAGCACCAGUCUUAGGAGAAGACCGAUUUUGGUGGAAAGUGGGUCAGAAGAGCAUGUGCAACUCAAGGAUUGCUGAGGAUGAACAAGUGCAUAGGGUAAAGUUGCUUCAUCAUGAAAGGUGAGUAUUUAGGGUAGAGACUGCGGUCUUGGUCUACAUUACUUGGUUGAGAUUAUAAAAUGGUUUCUGUCGACCCUCUCUACAAUCAGUGACAAAUUGUACUAAUAAUGAUGGACUCCUAAAAACCCUCAGUAGCCAAUCAGGUUGCAACCUCCUUCACCUUGAAGCUUUUUCCUAGAGAAUAUUUUCUUUCCGAAGGUUGUGUGGUACUUCCACUCUCCUUGAUUCCACCUUGGAAACACUGGCUACUACUUCAUAAAGAACUGGAAGGGAAGAAAGUGAUAAUGUGGAAAAGUGCCAAAACUCAGUCUGAUUUUUCCUGGCAGCUUUCCCUUGGUGUCAUUGAACUUGUGUUGGAAUAAAAGACUCCAUUCCAGAUCCA
rnacentral:lncRNA from 1 species